rnacentral:tRNA from 1 species
GCUCCGGUGGUGUAGCCCGGUUUAGCAUAGCGGCCUUAGCAGCCGUUGAUCGCGGGUUCAAAAGCGGCUUAGGCUGCGGAGAUUCCCGCCCGGAGCACCA